rnacentral:rRNA from 1 species
AUUGAACGCUAGCGGGAUGCUUUACCCAUGCAAGUCGAACGAGUGGCGGACGGGUGAGUAAUAUCUCGGAAACUGCCCAGUAGCGGGGGAUAACUACUCGAAACAGUGGCUAAUACCGCCUACGAUUGCAUCGGCCGAUAUUGGAUUAGCUAGUUGGUGGGGUAACGGCUCACCAAGGCAACGAUCCGUAGCUGGUUUGAGAGGACGACCAGCCACACUGGGACUGAGACACGGCCCAGACUCCGACGGGAGGCAGCAGUGGGGAAUUUUGGACAAUGGGGGAAACCCUGAUCCAGCCAUCCCGCGUGUAUGAGAAGGCCUUCGGGUUGUAAAGUACUUUUGGCAGAGAAGCGGUAUCUGCAGAAUAAGCACCGGCUAACUACGUGCCAGCAGCCGCGGUAAUAC